CCUACGGGAGGCAGCAGUGAGGAAUAUUGGUCAAUGGGCGGAAGCCUGAACCAGCCAAGUAGCGUGCAGGAUGACGGUCCUACGGGUUGUAAACUGCUUUUAUACGGGAAUAACGCGCCUUACGUGUAGGGCUUUGCAUGUACCGUAAGAAUAAGGAUCGGCUAAUUCCGUGCCAGCAGCCGCGGUAAUACGGAAGGUCCGGGCGUUAUCCGGAUUUAUUGGGGUUAACGGGUGCGCAGGCCGCAUGUCAAGCGUGCUGUUAAAUUUACGGGCUCAACCCGGGCCGUGCGGCGGAAACUGGCUUGCUUGAGUGCGCGAAAAGUAGGCGGAAUUCGUGGUGUAGCGGUGAAAUGCUUAGAUAUGACGAAGAACCCCGAUUGCGAAGGCAGCUUGCUGGAGCGGAACUGACGCUGAUGCUCGAAAGCGCGGGUAUCGAACAGGAUUAGAUACCCUGGUAGUC
rnacentral:rRNA from 1 species